UACGUAGGGUGCGAGCGUUAAUCGGAAUUACUGGGCGUAAAGCGUGCGCAGGCGGCUUUUUAAGACAGGUGUGAAAUCCCCGGGCUUAACCUGGGAAUGGCGCUUGUGACUGGGAAGCUGGAGUGCGGCAGAGGGGGAUGGAAUUCCACGUGUAGCAGUGAAAUGCGUAGAGAUGUGGAGGAACACCGAUGGCGAAGGCAGUCCCCUGGGUCAGCACUGACGCUCAUGCACGAAAGCGUGGGGAG
rnacentral:rRNA from 1 species